rnacentral:rRNA from 1 species
CCUACGGGAGGCAGCAGUGGGGAAUAUUGGACAAUGGGCGCAAGCCUGAUCCAGCAAUGCCGCGUGGGUGAAGAAGGUCUUCGGAUCGUAAAGCCCUUUCGACAGGGACGAUGAUGACGGUACCUGUAGAAGAAGCCCCGGCUA